rnacentral:lncRNA from 10 species
CAGAAUGGAAACAGAGCUUGCUAUCAACGUGCUGAAAAUGCUUGUUGCUGGAUACAAAAUGUGAUAUCAAGAUACUCCAGAGAUACGCCCUUGCUGUUUCUCUAGAGUCCUUCUCUUCAGGCUCCAGUUAGUAGUUGCUGCCUAGGAGAUGAAGUGAAUUUCACAAGAAAGACAUAAGAAGCCAACAACUGCUAUUACCCCUGUAUGCACACAAGUUGAACCUAACGGCAUUAAAAGAAAAGGACAAGCUGUGAAAUGCCUAGAUUCCAGAGCAACAGACUGUGAUCCAUUCCCAACAACCCCUCCCUACCGUCUGCCACCAGUUCCCUUAAAGCAGGAAUCAGAGCUAGACUGACUCAACUAAGAAUUGUUUUGGAGAACUUGGAACUCAACAUUCCAUAAAGCAAGAAGCUUGACAUAGCAUCGAUGAGCCCAAGUCAACUAUAUGAACAAAACAAUGUCUCAGGAGGGGCAGGGUAUCACGUCAGAAGAAUCCUGAGUCCUUAGAUGACCUUGUAGAAAAGAGCCACAAACUUACUCUGGGCUACCUUCAUACCUCUGAACUAUUAUGCAGAGAGAAAUAAAUGUAUUCAAAUCACUGUUUUUUGGGUUUCUUCAUUCAUGUAGCUUAGCCUAUAACCUAAGUAA